UUAUCCUACGGGAGGCAGCAGUAGGGAAUAUUCAAUAAUGGGAGAAAGCCUGAUGGAGCAACGCCGCGUGGGUGAGGAAGGUCUUCGGAUCGUAAAACCCUGUUGUUAGAGAAGAAAGUGCGUGAGAGUAACUGUUCACGUUUCGACGGUAUCUAACCAGAAAGCCACGGCUAACUACGCGCCAGCAGCCGCGGUAAUACGUAGGUGGCAAGCGUUAUCCGGAUUUAUUGGGCGUAAAGGGAACGCAGGCGGUCUUUUAAGUCUGAUGUGAAAGCCUUCGGCUUAACCGGAGGAGUGCAUUGGAA
rnacentral:rRNA from 1 species